rnacentral:rRNA from 1 species
GAUGAACGCUGGCGGCGUGCUUAACACAUGCAAGUCGAACGGUGAAGGCGGAGCUUGCUCUGCUGGAUCAGUGGCGAACGGGUGAGUAACACGUGAGCAAUCUGCCCCUGACUCUGGGAUAAGCGCUGGAAACGGCGUCUAAUACUGGAUACGAGCUGCGAAGGCAUCUUCAGCAGCUGGAAAGAAUUUCGGUCAGGGAUGAGCUCGCGGCCUAUCAGCUUGUUGGUGAGGUAAUGGCUCACCAAGGCGUCGACGGGUAGCCGGCCUGAGAGGGUGACCGGCCACACUGGGACUGAGACACGGCCCAGACUCCUACGGGAGGCAGCAGUGGGGAAUAUUGCACAAUGGGGGAAAGCCUGAUGCAGCAACGCCGCGUGAGGGACGACGGCCUUCGGGUUGUAAACCUCUUUUAGCAGGGAAGAAGCGAAAGUGACGGUACCUGCAGAAAAAGCGCCGGCUAACUACGUG